rnacentral:rRNA from 1 species
CCCUUAGAUGUUCUGGGCCGCACGCGCGCUACACUGAUUCAUUCAUCAAGUCUAUAACCUUGGUAGAAAUGCUUGGGUAAUCUUUGAAACUGAAUCGUGCUGGGGAUUGGAGCUUGUAAUUAUUCUCCAUGAACGAGGAAUUCCUAGUAAACGCGAGUCAUCAGCUCGCAUUGAUUACGUCCCUGCCCUUUGUACACACCGCCCGUCGCACCUACCGAUUGAAUGGUCCGGUGAAAUCUUCGGACCGGGCGAUGGUCAGCAAUGGCCGCUGCCUGGAAAGUCGCCUAAACCUUACCAUUUAGAGGAAGGUGAAGUCGUAACA